ACUGAGCACCUGCUGCAUGCCUGACAUGGGAUUUAGCCGGUUGCAAAUUGACCACGGAGCUAGAUAUGUAUUAACCCAAAUUCUACAGAGGAGGAAACUAAAGUUCACGGAAGUGAACUGAACGAACUUCCAUUCAGUUCAGCUGAAUGGCAUUCAGCUGGGGACAUGUGUUUGAUCCCUAGUCAGGAAACUAAGAUUCCACCUGCUGUGGAGCAACUAAGCCCGUGCGCCCUAACUCUAGAGAGUCUGUGUGCUACAUCGAAGGAUUCCACAUGACCCAACGAAGACCCUGCAUGUUGCAAUUAAGACCUGACACAGCCAAAUAAAAGAAAUGAAUAUUAAAUAAAAGAAAGAAACUGAGGCUCAGAGAGGGGAAGUCAUUUGCCCAAGUUGACACAGCAUGUUGGUGGUAGGGCUGGAAUUUGAACCAAUCCCUUGGUGGACCCAAGAAGCCUCACUGGAGGCACGAAGACCUCUGGACAGGAGGGUGGACGGCCCCUUCGCAGGCUCCCGAGGGCAUCGAAGUAUGCGGACAGCUAGUUGGAGAGAGAGGAGCACUCCAAGGGGCGGAGUCUGCAUGAGGAAGGCUUGCAGUUAGGAAUUACUGGGUGAGGAAAAUGGAGCCUCCGAGAAGGUGUUGCGGCCAGCCCAGGCACACAGCCGUCAGUGGUCGAGCAGGAUUUGAAUCCACGUCUUCCUGACUCUGAGGCCAGGCUCUGAACCACUGUGUUCCAGUCACCCCAUUGUGGGGCCUCUACUCCAGACCCCAGCUGCCGGCCUGACUCAGCAACUGUGGGUGGCCUCGCUCCAGUGCGUGGGCAGCAGAGCCAGUGAGAAGCCUCCCGGUUCCUUGAAAACCAAAUAUGGCCAGAGCAGGCCCUCGGAGGUCCGACCCCUAGGCUGGGCCUGCUCCCGCCUGCUCCUCUGUGCUGUGGGGCCCUGCUCGCUGCGCAGCCUCCUGGCUCUGCCCCAGAGGACUCUGGGAGAGUAGAG
ensembl:lncRNA